AUGUGCCUGCUGGUUAACUGGAUACUCCGCCAGGUUACAGAAUUGCCCCCAGAAUUACAUCUGAAGAAAGACAUUACCUUCAGCUCCACUGGAAGCGUGAGGCUUCACAGACAAAUUCACCCAAGUCUGGAAUUGAUAACCCAGCUUCUACAUAUUUCGGUUUUAACUCAGAUGAGCCCACGUGAACAUCCAAACUCAGAUUUUUCUCAUGUGGUUUUACGCCUGCUUAGAUUCAGAGGCUGCCGAGAAAAGUAUAUACACAAUAAAUCUAAAAUCAUUCAAUUACCUUAAGUCAAUUGGGAGGCUUAUAUUUACUGAGAAUAGGCAUUUGACUCCCAUAUUACAUAGACAAGCAAAUGACUCCCAUGUAGCAAAAUCAUUCUGGAUAGUUUAUUACUCUGUGCUCAGUUGUUCAAGGAACAAGGAGAAAGGCUUGAGAGCUUGAUCAGGAAAAUACUACAUUUGUCAACUGGCAGCAACAGCAUGCCAACACAGCCUCUUGAAUUGACUGCUGGAUGUGCAUCAGCUCUCAGCAAAGGGAAGAAUUCAGCCCCCUCUCUGGAAACAGACUCAUGCUGAAAAAUUAAGUUAAUUUCCUUCAGUUAAUUAAACCAGUUUCCUUAUUAGCAAAAGGAGAUGACCAGUCUAGUCUACAUCUAAUGACUCACAGAAUGAUGAGGCUAGCUAGCCCCAUCUCUAUUUAAACUUGACUUUCAGACUGAGUCUCCUAGCACUCGUACAGGCAGUAUUAGCCCCACCCAGUAUUUAGUUCUGCUUCUGUGACUGUGGAACCGAGGAUUCACUCAGUCCAUGUGAACUACCUCUGAGGCCUGCUGACUGCUAAAUUCACAUACUGUUUCAUCUCUCUGAUGUGUGUGUGUCUGUACCCAAGGUACCAUGACGUAUACCCUUGUGAGUCUGGGGACUAAGCAGUAUUGGGGAAUCCUCUGGAUCCCCCUGUCACAUGUUACCUCUCAUGCAGGAUAAGCUUAUGGUGGAUACACUCUGACUUCCUCUUUCUCUUAAGCAAAAUUUUGGUGGUGAUGAGGGGUGUGGACAGGGACAGGAAUUCCUCUGGAAUGGCCCAGGGAUCCAGGUCCAAACCAGGAUAAACCUGAUGGUAUUGCUUAGCCAACUGUUACCCAGACAGCCCCAACAACUGAAACUCUCCUUGAAGUUACCAGCAAAUAGCCACUAUUCACCAUGUAUACCCUCCUAUGCCAGGCAAAUCCAAAAUCUUUUCAUUCCCACACCAACCCUGCAAGAUAAUACAUAGCACUUCUACAAAUGAGGAAACUAGGGCUCAGGGAGAUUAAAUAGAU
rnacentral:lncRNA from 1 species